GGAGCGGUGUCAGAGCGGUCGAAUGAGCCGGUUUUGAAAACCGGUGUGGCGUCAGCCACCGGGGGUUCGAAUCCCUCCCGCUCCGCCA
rnacentral:tRNA from 1 species